GGGCCCGCACAAGCGGUGGAGCAUGUGGUUUAAUUCGACGCAACGCGCAGAACCUUACCAGGGUUUGACAUCCUGCGACCGCUCCCUAAUAGGAGUUUUCCCGCAAGGGACGCAGAGACAGGUGCUGCAUGGCUGUCGUCAGCUCGUGUCGUGAGAUGUUGGGUUAAGUCCCGCAACGAGCGCAACCCUCGCCUUUAGUUGCCAUCAUUCAGUUGGGCACUCUAGAGGGACCGCCGGCGACAAGCCGGAGGAAGGUGGGGAUGACGUCAAGUCCUCAUGGCCCUUACACCCUGGGCUACACACGUGCUACAAUGGCGGUGACAGUGGGCAGCUACUCAGCGAUGAGCGGCUAAUCCCAAAAAACCGCCCCAGUUCAGAUUGCACUCUGCAACUCGAGUGCAUGAAGGUGGAAUCGCUAGUAAUCGCAGAACAGCAGGCUGCGGUGAAUACGUUCCCGGGCCUU
rnacentral:rRNA from 1 species